rnacentral:rRNA from 1 species
UACGUAGGUGGCAAGCGUUGUCCGGAAUUAUUGGGCGUAAAGAGCGCGUAGGCGGUCCGAUAAGUCGGCUGUGAAAGUCAGGGGCUCAACCCUUGAAAGCCGGCCGAUACUGUCGGACUAGAGUCCGGAAGAGGCAAGUGGAAUUCCCGGUGUAGCGGUGAAAUGCGCAGAUAUCGGGAGGAACACCAAUGGCGAAGGCAGCUUGCUGGGACGGUACUGACGCUGAGACGCGAAAGCGUGGGGAGCGAACAGG